GUGUGUGAGAGAGAGAGAGAGAGAGAGAGAGAGAGAGCAUCUGGUUCUUGUACCACCACCACCACUGCCCCCUUUGCAUUGUCCCUCCCUGGCCACUUCUUUCUCCUUCUCCAUUUUGUGCCUAGCGUACAAGGAGGUGCCCUGCUUGCUGCUGCUGCUGUUCGGAAGCUAUGGCAUUGCAAGAAGAAGAGGAGGAUGAUGAAGAUGAUGAAGAAGGGGAGAAAGAAGAAGAAGAAGACGGUGUCAGGGUGCGUGGGGAGCUCUGAUUUCUCCUUGUCCUGAGGUGUGCUGUCCACUUGUGGAUGUAGUAAGAUAUUGGCACAAUAGGCUCAAUCACUUUUUUCUUUUCCUCUCUUCUUUUCUCACUUCUGCUUAUUUUUGCUGCUUGCUUGCUUCUUCGUCUUUUUUAUUUUCCUUCUUCCCCUCAAUUCAUGAUGACACGUUCUUCCUUCCUUGUGUAAUUUAUCACCGUUCUUGGCGUUUUGCCUGAUUUAGAAUGCAACUG
rnacentral:sRNA from 1 species